AGUGAACGCUGGCGGUAGGCCUAGCACAUGCAAGUCGAACGGCAGCACAGGAGAGCUUGCUCUCUGGGUGGCGAGUGGCGGACGGGUGAGGAAUACAUCGGAAUCUACUCUGUCGUGGGGGAUAACGUAGGGAAACUUACGCUAAUACCGCAUACGACCUACGGGUGAAAGCAGGGGACCUUCGGGCCUUGCGCGAUUGAAUGAGCCGAUGUCGGAUUAGCUAGUUGGCGGGGUAAAGGCCCACCAAGGCGACGAUCCGUAGCUGGACUGAGAGGAUGAUAAGGCACACUGGACAUGAAGCACGGUCCAGACUCCUACGGGAGGCGGCAGUGGGGAAUAUUGGACAAUGGGCGCAAGCCUGAUCCAGCCAUACCGCGUGGGUGAAGAAGGCCUUCGGGUUGUAAAGCCCUUUUGUUGUGAAAGAAAUCCAGCUGGCUAAUACCCGGUUGGGAUGACGGUACCCAAAGAGUAAGCACCGGCUAACUUCGUGCCAGCCGCCGCCGUAA
rnacentral:rRNA from 1 species